rnacentral:lncRNA from 1 species
GCCACCCUUGUGCACAUCCAUAACAGACAUGAUGUGUUCUAGGUGGGUCUUAAGAAGCUGCUUUAGACAGAAAAACAGACAGUACUGGAAUGAAAGUCCCCAAGUUAAGCACAGGGAAGAGAAUGAAAAAAAGAAUCAAAGGAAUGACCCUUUGCAUCUGUUUAGCUGGCCAUGACUAGGUAUUUCUUUUAUCCAUAAAUUCCCAGGGGUCACAGCUUUUACACUAUGAGCAUC